AAGGAUUUAAGUUAAAUAAACUAUUAGCCUUCAAAGCUGAAAAUAAAUGGUAGAUUUAAGCCUUA
rnacentral:tRNA from 1 species